UUUGUUUUUAUUCCUGUUGGCGUGCGCGUGGAUGCGUGUGUGAGUUUAUACACGCUCGCUAAUCAACUCUUGUGUACGGCAGUGUGUUCGCAUUCGGUGUGUUCCGCUUCUCGCACGUGUUUCGGAUUUUACCAGCUGGAUUUCCCACUCGUGUGUGUGUGUUGUGGUUUUAAUUCUGCUACACACCUUGCCGGAUAUUGUGCAUGGAAGGUAUGCUAAUUACAUUUAAUUGCCAGGCACCUUGAUAAUUAGCAAAAGCAAAACGACUGGCCGAUUGAUAAGUAGAUAGGCGUGUUUACAUUCCCCUUCGCGAUCUGUGACUGAUUCUGUAAGGGAUGUGAGUCUCUUCUGGGCGCAGCGUGUACGUAGUGCUAGAUAAAAAAAAAACAUAAGCUCUGUGAGAAAGCUAAGGCGCUCAGCAAUGGUUCCAGCGCUAGGGGAACUAGCUCCAAGGACGGGAACAACACAGGAACAGCGUAGUGUGUUCUACAGGAAAUAAAAAAAAAAAAUUGAGACCCGCUGAGUUUGAAAUCUGAAGGCUGCAUAUUUUUAAAUAUUCUUUUGUCUACUGGGAGAACUGCCAAGAAGUAUUUUGAUUAACUUUUUGUCAUUCACAUUUCCGUUCAAGGGACUGUACUCCGGUGUUGUGGAUAUAUCGUGUGGUUCUUGUUGGAGUUUACCAUGGGAAAGCGAGCGAGUAAGUUGAGGCCGGACGAAGUGGCCGAACUGAAGGCGCAUACCUAUUUUACUGAGUCGGAGAUAAAACAAUGG